rnacentral:rRNA from 1 species
AUACGGAGGGUGCGAGCGUUAAUCGGAAUUACUGGGCGUAGAGGGUGCGUAGGCGGCUUGAUAAGUCGGAUGUGAAAGCCCCGGGCUUAACCUGGGAAUUGCAUUCGAUACUGUCAGGCUAGAGUAUGUCAGAGGUUGGCGGAAUUCCUGGUGUAGCGGUGAAAUGCGUAGAUAUCAGGAGGAACACCAGUGGCGAAGGCGGCUAACUGGGGCAAUACUGACGCUGAGGCACGAAAGCGUGGGGAGCAAACAGGAUUAGAAACCCCAGUAGUCC